CGGUGGCGGGGGGCUUACACAUGCAAGUCGAGCGGUAACAGAGAUAGCUUGCUAUCUGCUGACGAGCGGCGGACGGGUGAGUAAUGCUUGGGAAUAUGCCUUAUGGUGGGGGACAACAGUUGGAAACGACUGCUAAUACCGCAUAACGUCUACGGACCAAAGGGGGGGAUGCUUCGGCACCUCCCGCCAUUUGAUUAGCCCAAGUGAGAUUAGCUAGUAGGUGAGGUAAGAGCUCACCUAGGCGACGAUCUCUAGCUGGUUUGAGAGGAUGAUCAGCCACACUGGGACUGAGACACGGCCCAGACUCCUACGGGAGGCAGCAGUGGGGAAUAUUGCACAAUGGGCGAAAGCCUGAUGCAGCCAUGCCGCGUGUGUGAAGAAGGCCUUCGGGUUGUAAAGCACUUUCAGCGAGGAGGAAAGGUUAGUGGUUAAUAGCCACUAGCUGUGACGUUACUCGCAGAAGAAGCACCGGCUAACUUCGUGCCAGCAGCCGCGGUAAC
rnacentral:rRNA from 1 species